AGGUCAUUAGAGGAUAAAAACCAGGAAUGAUCUUUUGCUAAGCAUCUCAUUACAAAGCUGACACUUAAACUGCUGACAGAUUA
rnacentral:snoRNA from 1 species